AUGAACGCUGGCGGCGUGCCUAAUACAUGCAAGUCGAGCGAACAGACGAGGAGCUUGCUCCUCUGACGUUAGCGGCGGACGGGUGAGUAACACGUGGAUAACCUACCUAUAAGACUGGGAUAACUUCGGGAAACCGGAGCUAAUACCGGAUAAUAUAUUGAACCGCAUGGUUCAAUAGUGAAAGACGGUUUUGCUGUCACUUAUAGAUGGAUCCGCGCCGCAUUAGCUAGUUGGUAAGGUAACGGCUUACCAAGGCAACGAUGCGUAGCCGACCUGAGAGGGUGGUCGGCCACACUGGAACUGAGACACGGUCCAGACUCCUACGGGAGGCAGCAGUAGGGAAUCUUCCGCAAAGGGCGAAAGCUUGACGGAGCAACGCCGCGUGAGUGAUGAAGGUCUUCGGAUCGUAAAACUCUGUUAUUAGGGAAGAACAAAUGUGUAAGUAACUAUGCACGUCUUGACGGUACCUAAUCAGAAAGCCACGGCUAACUACGUG
rnacentral:rRNA from 1 species